CAUAGAAAUAUUUCAAAUCAUUAAAGGGAUAUUUUAUAAUUAUUACAAAUUUUUUUCAUAACAUUUGAAGCAAAUUUAAAUAUUUCAAAUUAUUUAGGCAAAUAAAAAUUUACAACGUUUUUCAACAACAAUCAAUAAAUUCCUAACACCAUUUAUUUUUGUGCAAUUUUAUAAAAUUUUGAUCAAUUUUUGUGAAAAUUGGUUUGAAGGAAAAAAAAAAGAACUAAGAAAUAAAGAUGGAUUGUUCAAAUUGUAAAAUAAAUAAAAUUUCACCUGAAAUAAAUCCAUUUGGUGGCUACUUCUGCAGCAAUGAACAUAUGCAGUGCAAUGAAUGUAAUACCUCCUCGAAAGGGCAUUGUGGUCUUUGUAAUGCUAGUACAAAGUUUGUACAAAUGAAUUUUAAAUCCUCAGACGAACCACUACCCGCUACACCACAGUCAAGUAUAUUUUCGAAAGAUCAACCGAUACGUAGUGCUUUGUCAAAGCAAAUGCUCGAUGAAAUAGAAACACAGUCCAGAAUAUCGAAGGAACACUUAAUUUUAAAAGAUUCUCGAGAGUACAUGCAUCAGAAUGCAAAGGAAAACGACUCGAAAGAGACAAAUGGAAUGGAAACUUUAUUUGUAGGUACUCCAGCAGAAAAUUCAGCGUCUCUUAUAGGCAACUCAAAUCAUGAAGAUGUCGGAAAGAACUUCAAUGGUUUAAAAAUUAAAAAUAAAAAAUCCAUAAAUGAUUCCUCGAACAAAUUGGAGAUGACGCGGGAAAAUGUAUUUUGUUUUGAAGACGAUCCCAAUGAUACUUAUAUACCAACAUCUGAAAUUCGUUUUAUGGAUUCUACUGAAAGUUUUCAAAAUUUCUAUACCAAACAAAAAACCGACGAACUGGCUUGUGUAUUAAGGAACAAUGACCAACAACCGAAUUCCCUUUCUUUGAAAGUUCUAAGUAAUUUUGAAACUAAGGAUUCAGUUGAUAAAACAGAAAUUGUUAUGAAUUAUUUAGAAAGUUGUUGUACAACAUCAUAUCACCAGUCACCACUCUACAACUGUCAACAUUCUCAUUGUCAGUUUGGUUGGCAACCAAAUAAUCAAAAAAUGAAAGCAGCAAUGAAAACCGUUAGUGUAUCAACCGAUUCGGAUCCCAGCCUAAAAUCAACAUGUUUUGAUACAACAGAAGCUAGCUUGGUCGCAAAAUUUAAACCACGUGAUUUUUUUAUUAUGCAAGCAAUGGGAGUUCCUCCUCCUAUAAGGAGUACAGCUAAUUUGCCAUUAGAAAAGUAUGGUAAACCUUGUAUGGAUACAGUAAGAAUGCAAAAAAUUCUGGAAACUUUUAAAGAGGAUCUAAAUACAACAAAAUUUACCGAAAUGUCGAAUUUCAUUAAACUUUCAGGACAAAUUCCAAUGAAGCAACAACAAGAGAAGAAAGAUGCUGAAACACAAAGUUUAAAAAAGGAAGAUAAAAACUCUAUUUUAGUUGCAAAAUUAAUAAAUGCACAUAGAGCUGUUUAUAGUCCUCCAAAUCCCCCAACAGAUCCAGUUAAUAAUUUACACUUGCUAUCACAACCGCAAUCUCCUCAACAAGAACCCCCUUUGCCACAGUUUCAAACACUGCCCUGUUCUUCCGCUUUUGCUCAAGAACUUCUUCAAAAUCCAAAAAGGAGUUUAAGUCUUAAACCGGUUCCAGCUUGUGUGCUCAACAUACCACGCCAACCGAUACAAUGUCCAGAAUCAAAUUGUCUUAAAAUGAUAUUUGUAUCGGAUUUCAAUAAACAUUUGGUCGUCGAUCACAACCAUCUGCCCAUGGAGCGCAUAAUACCCUAUCAGUGCAAAAAUUUCUUUUUGGAUGCACGUUUGGCUCACUGUGGCACUAGUAAAUGCCAUUUAUUGUAUUUAAUGCAGAAUAAAAUUACCGAUUUGGGAAGCAGUGAAUAUAAGGACUUUCUUCCCAUUUUGGUCAUGACCACACGCAUUUCCCUUAAUGAAAUGUGUGGUUUAAAAGAUGGAGCAUCAACCAUGGAAUUUUUCCUCAUAUGGAUUACGGGAAUUGCACCUGAAGAGUUUCCCGUAUAUGUAUCGCUAACUAUUUGGUGUAGAUCUGGCAGGGUGCCUUUGUGCCAUACUGUAUAUUCAGGAAAAAUAUAUUCUAUUCGGGAAUCUCAACGGGCCUUUGAUGUUUGGCAAAGUGGCCGUAUGGUUUUAUUAUCCAGCCAAGAAAUAGAUGCGUUAACUAGUGGUGGCAAGGAGAUGUUAAAUUUACAACUGAGUGUUCACUGAUUUAAAGAGUAAAGGGUAUCUGCUGUAAUCUAAAAACUAUUUUAAAGUCUUGGAAUUUUGUAAUUUGUAAUGUUUAUAUUUUUAUAAUUUAUACAAAUAUAUUAGAAUUUUAAGGCAAAGGAACUAAAGUUUACUACUUUACGCUAAUUAGAACAUCUCCAUCACAUCCGAUAACUAACUACUAACCGCAAAUUAAAAAAAAGAAUUUGUUAA